UUCGCAAUGCCCGAAAGGGUGACGAAGCGACGCCGCGUGGGUGAGGAAGGCCUUCGGGUUGUAAAGCCCUGUCAGGAGUUAUGAAAUGUAAGUGCGCUAAUAUCGUGCUUAUUUGACAAAGGCUCCAAAGGAAGCCACGGCUAACUCUGUGCCAGCAGCCGCGGUAAUACAGAGGUGGCGAGCGUUGUUCGGAAUUAUUGGGCGUAAAGAGCACGUAGGUGGGUUUGCAAGUCAGAUGUGAAAGCCUUCUGUUCAACGGAAGAAUUGCAUCUGAAACUGCUAAUCUUGAGUAUAGGAGGGGAGAAUGGAACUUCUGGUGGAGCGGUGAAAUGCGUAGAUAUCAGAAGGAACGCCGGCGGCGAAAGCGAUUCUCUGGCCUAUUACUGACACUCAGUGUGCGAAAGCUAGGGGAGCAAACGGGAUUAGAUACCCCGGUAGUCCUAGCCGUAAACGAUGGGCACUAAGUAGAGGGGUUUU
rnacentral:rRNA from 1 species